CUGCCCGUAGUUCAGCAGGAUAGAACAACGGUCUUCUAAACCGUGGGUCGGGGGUUCGAAUCCCUCCGGGCAGGCCA
rnacentral:tRNA from 1 species